GCAGUGGUUGUUCAGUCAUAGAAUUCUCACCUUCCACGUGGGAGGCCUGGGUUUGAUUCCCAGCCAAUGCA
rnacentral:tRNA from 1 species